rfam:Stegodyphus mimosarum contig40389, whole genome shotgun sequence.
GCCUUCGUGGUGUAGUGGUCAGUACGCUUGACGCGAAUUCGAGAGGUCAGUGGUUCGAGUCCCGGCGAGGACA